GAAAACCAGCUGGGCUCCCUGGGAGACACAACCGCCAUGGGAAACCGGCUCUGCUGUGGGGGAACCUGGUGAGUAGGGCCGAAAGGUGGAGGGGACCGCCUCCGGUGGUGGAUAUGAAACCCUGAGAAUCAGACAGCCUGGAGACCGUCCGUGCCUUCCUCCACCUGCCACGUCCUAGGUGGAGCAGAGAGCGGUGCCUUAGGACGCUUGGAAAACACAGCAAGCUGGAGAGUGGCCAGAGGUUGGCUGCACCGGUGGGCCAGCCUGGUUUCUCUCUUCUCUCCUUUCCUUCCUUCCGAUGCUCUCUCCUUUUUUAUUCUUCCGCAGAUCAUAAUAACGGGAGCAUUGGAGUGCUCUCUAUGUGCAGUCACUUUCUAAUCUGGGUUAAUUGUCCCAGGUCUUCUGUGAGUGAGUGGUCUUACCGUUGUUCCCAUCUUGGCCGGUUAAGGAGCGGAGGCUCAGAGAAGGUAGUGUCAGUCACAUGGCUAGUAGCUUAGCAGGUAAAACAAGAUUCCAAGCGCGGAGGCUAGACUUCAGGGCCCAUACUUUCCUCACUAGGUAAUCAGAGAUGUGACCAUGGAUUGAGCAACUGAAUUUGGACAAAUGUUUGUUUGAAACUGCAGAAGUGGGAAGGAAGAGAAUCCACUGGAACUGUGAAUAUAACUUUCAUGCUAUUUGCUGUGUGGCCUCAUGCAGUCCAGUCAAUUCACUGGGUCCUCGAUUUUUUUAAAAAUAUACAGUCCCUAUUAUUUGUAUCAUAGGUUGGUUUUAGAGAUCGAAAGCUAGUAAG
rnacentral:lncRNA from 1 species